UGCGUAGGUGGUGCGGUGUGUUUGGUGUGAAAUCUCCCGGCUCAACCGGGAGGGGCCAUCGAAAACUGCCGCGCUUCGGGUACGGGAGAGGGGAGUGGAAUUCCCGGUGUAGCGGUGAAAUGCGUAGAGAUCGGGAGGAACACCAGCGACGAAGGUGGCUCCCUGGACCGUUACCGACACUGAGGCACGAAAGCUAGGGGAGCAAACA
rnacentral:rRNA from 1 species